rnacentral:rRNA from 1 species
GAUGAACGCUGGCGGCGUGCUUAACACAUGCAAGUCGAGCGAGUGAGUUCUUCGGAACGAUCUAGCGGCGGACGGGUGAGUAACACGUGGGCAACCUGCCUCAUAGAGGGGAAUAGCCUCCCGAAAGGGAGAUUAAUACCGCAUAAAAUUAUCGAGUGGCAUCACAUGAUAAUCAAAGGAGUAAUCCGCUAUGAGAUGGGCCCGCGGCGCAUUAGCUAGUUGGUGAGGUAACGGCUCACCAAGGCGACGAUGCGUAGCCGACCUGAGAGGGUGAUCGGCCACAUUGGGACUGAGACACGGCCCAGACUCCUACGGGAGGCAGCAGUGGGGAAUAUUGCACAAUGGGCGCAAGCCUGAUGCAGCGACGCCGCGUGAGGGAUGACGGCCUUCGGGUUGUAAACCUCUUUCAGCACCGACGAAGCGCAAGUGACGGUAGGUGAAGAAUAAGCACCGGCUAACUACGUGCCAGCAGCCGCGGUAA